UACGGAGGGUGCAAACGUUGCUCGGAAUCAUUGGGCGUAAAGCGUGUGUAGGCGGCCUGUUAAGUCGGGUGUGAAAGCCCCGGGCUCAACCCAGGAAGUGCACUCGAAACUGGCAGGCUUGAGUACUGAAGAGGGUCGCGGAAUUCCCGGUGUAGAGGUGAAAUUCGUAGAUAUCGGGGAGGAACACCAGUGGCGAAGGCGGCGACCUGGGCAGAUACUGACACUGGAGGUGCGAAAGCGUGGGGGAGCAAACAGGG
rnacentral:rRNA from 1 species